AGCUGAGGGGAGGGCAAGCUUUGGCAGGGAAACCUCGACCCUCCCUCCUGUGGCCUGGAGGGUUUCAACCCCACCCCAGAGGAGCAGGCCAGUUAUUUUAACUCUGAAAAUAUUGCCCGUUUCAAAAGGAAGAACCAAGAAAGGAGGAUAUAUGCUACCUCUUUCCCGUGGUCCCUUCAUUUGUGAUGGCAACAGUUUCUUGGACUUGAGGGUUGCAGGGGACCGCUAUACACUUUUUCAUCAAGGCCAAGGUUCCUAAACCCCAUUGAACUUGGAUGAGCCCUUGAUUGGCAGCCAUCACCCUCAGGAUGUAAGUAUGUGAAGACUGGGAAUUUCCGAUUUAGGUAGCUAGUGCUGAAGAUUUGUCUCUCUCUUUUUUUUUAAUCUAAGGCAGUAGCCCUUCCCCUUCAACAAAAGUCACCACCACAAUGAAAAAAACAAUAGUCCACUGAUGAAUUGGAAAACCACUAUUAUUAUGUCAUAUAGUCAAGACGAGAUUCUGAAGCUCAAUUAAAAAGAUGAACUUGUAGUUGCCAAACAGCCUCCUGGAGGAGGAAAGGCAGUGCCCCUUUGUGGCAGGCAACUCUCUGGUUAAUUCUUCUGGAUUGCAUCAUAAAGGGAAAUCUCUAUAUUUGCUCCAGAUUUCUAAAAGAGGUAAGGAACUUCAAGUUCACAAAUCAUCUCCUUUCAAGGCAGGUGCCUGGUGUGACAACAGGGUUAUGACCCUCCCUCUUGUCUUCAGAACAGGGUGACAUCAUCUGGGGACAUCUCAGGAAUGCCCACAGGAUAGAAAAACCUCUGCUAUCAAGACUCCAGAAACCAAGACCUCCUCCUAAGUCCCAAUGUUGUUCCCCGGCUGCCAGCUCCUCCCCGAGUGACUUCCUACAGCACAGCCUUGGUGCCUGCCUGUCCUUCCGGAAGCCUUGGACACAUGUGAGAGGUCCAGGGCAAUACAGAAACGGUCACUCUCGCUUUAGCUUGGCCCGGGGCACGUCACAAAGCAACAGCAAGCCUACAAACGUUGAAGGACCAUGUGGACCAGACACCAUAUACUGGGUGCCAGACACUAGUCUAAGAGAACAUAUGAUCUGUAUUUCCUUGAAUUUAGGACUCUUUUCCCCCCUCAUUUUUUAACAUCUUUAGAACUGGGAUAGGUGUUACAAUCAAUGGCUGUUACAAGGCUAGUCACGAUGGAAGUAUUCAUGCCUCACCCAACUGAUUUCAUAGAUGAAUGUAUGUAACAUGCAUGAAAGCAAUAAAUGGUAUUAAAACUAUUUCUAAGUAAGUUCAGAAGGAUUCUUUCACUAAGCAUCAAAUAGAAAUUCCAAGUAAUAAGAAGGCAAGGUGUCCCAAUGUAAUUGACACCAUUUUUCUUUCUUUUUUUAAAUUAAUU